GGGCUUUGUUGUGGAGGUUUUGUAUCGGCGGUUCUCAGUGAUGCUGUAAGUUCAGUGUUGAUGCUGCUGUUGGGAGCACGUUUAAGCACAAAAAAAUCCCUCAUUGAGCCAUAACUGGAUGAAUGGGGUCCUUGUGGCACCUGCUUCUGUUCUUCAUCUGCGGUGGGGUGACCUGGAAAGGGACUGUAUGGGAGAUAGGAUCCAAAGGACCCCAAAAGGUUAUCCAGGCCCCAAGGCAGGAUCAGCUAGACUGAAAACUGGAAUUCUUGGUCCAAAGGAUCAGCCACUUGAAGAAAUCCCUUUGCCAUUUUCAGACUGGAGACCUUCUGUUCUCCUCCAGCAAAGUACCAGUUCUGCACGCAACAGAUUUCUCCACUCAGCAUCUUUGGGACACCCGUCGAUCAAUGACAGGGAAUUUGAGUCCCCAUUUCCCAACAGCUCUUGAGGACUCUCCACCACUGAGUUCACCCUCUCUGUGGGAAGAGGUGGGACUGCAAGAGCUCAGUGAUGGCUUUUCAAACCUGAAGCAGAAGCAAAGCUGCUGAAAGGUAAGUAAUAAAAGGCCUAUAAAAUU